UGUUCUUUUUCUCAUUCAACCGUCUUCACCUUUCUCUUAUCUUCGUUGAUAUCCUCUUCUUCUAGGAAUCCAGAUCUCGUUCAUCUUCCUUCUUUGAUUCGUUUCUCUUCAUCAGAUCUGUAUGGAUCUGAUCAAUCUCUACACACAGAUGGUGAUUUCUACGCGAUCUGUCAUGGAUCUGACUCUUGAUGCCUCAGAUCUACGAUCCAGAGGUAUGUCGAAGCCGUGAUGAGAAGAUCGUAGAUCGAGACUCGAAUUCAGGCGAUGCCGCUAUCUUGAUUGAUCUGGAUGCUUCUGCCUCAAGAACGUAGAUCUGGAAGCAUGUAUUGCUAUGUUCUCUGUUGCGAAUCUCAGAUUUGAUCUAUGUUGUAAUUAUAGUUUAUGCUGGGAGGCUUCGAGGGGGGAAUAUGUGGAUGUGGGAGAUUUUGGGAUGAAAUUCCUCAUUCCAUUGAAUGGAUUUGAGGUAUUGAAUCCUGAGUGAUCUUGUCAUCCGACCUUUGCCAUGUCAGGUGCGCUUGCAUGGCAGGUCAACAUGUUAAUAAAAAAAGUUUUCGUUGGGUUUGGGGGAGAUCGCACGGGAAUUCCCGGGAUCUCUUUCCCCUGUGUGUGUGGUUCGUUUGCCUGAUCCUUUCCCUUUUGCUUUUAACUUUUUGCCCUGUCGCUCGGCUCUGAAUUACUACUACUCACCACUCGGUAGAUCCAUCAUCAGAUAAGCUCCUGCAAGUCAUCGACGACCCUAUCAUAAGGUAUUAUCUAUCAGUUUUUAAUUUAGAUCAAUUCCGAUAACAACUACAGCAAAUUACAGCCAUAAUUAACACGUCAAUGGUUAAAAUAUGCUAGAUCAACUCUUAAUUUUCAUGGAUAUGGCACGUAUUUAGUCUAACUUUCUUCUUAUAAACGCCUGUCCCACCAAUUUAAUUUAAUUAGCUGGUAAUUAUAAUCAUGGGCCAAGUUUUGUUAAUUUUCGGUUACGACUGCGUAUUCUCUGUUAAUUUAAUUUAAUCGCAUAUGGCAACCAUUUGAUUCUUAACUCCACUUGAUAUAGACCUUUUUCUAAAGGCAUUUGGAGAUUUGUAAUAUCUUGUUGGGACAUAUGUAUUAAAGGAUGUAAUUUCAGAAAUAUAGGAAUAUAGCUAUGUAAUUGCAAGGAACUUUUGAAGAUGAUGUGGUCAAGUUAUCUCCGGGAAUGGCACACUAUUGACGAUGUGAAGAUGUGAUAUGUAUGUAGGUUGAUUGUGGUUAAUCAUUAUUCCUCACAAGUAUACGAAGGUGAAUUCAAUUUUGUUUCAGUUAUUCA